rnacentral:rRNA from 1 species
AGGUUUGAUCCUGGCUCAGAAUCAACGCUGGCGGCGUGCCUCAGACAUGCAAGUCGAACGAUUAAAGCUCUCUUCGGAGAGUGUAUAGAGUGGCGCACGGGUGAGUAACACGUAAGUAAUCUACCCUCGAGUGGGGAAUAACAACCGGAAACGGUUGCUAAUACCGCAUAAUGCAGCGGCACCGCAAGGUGACAGUUGUUAAAGAUUUAUCGCUUGAGGAGGAGCUUGCGGCAGAUUAGCUAGUUGGUAGGGUAACGGCUUACCAAGGCUACGAUCUGUAACCGGUCUAAGAGGACGGUCGGUCACACUGACACUGAAUAACGGGUCAGACUCCUACGGGAGGCAGUAGUCGGGAAUUUUGGGCAAUGGGCGAAAGCCUGACCCAGCAACGCCGCGUGAAGGAUGAAGUAUUUCGGUAUGUAAACUUCGAAAGAAUAGGAAGAAUUAAUGACGGUACUAUUUAUAAGGUCCGGCUAACUACGUG